GCUCAGUAACACGUGGAUAACCUGCCCUUGGGUCUGGGAUAACCCCGGGAAACUGGGGAUAAUACCGGAUAACGCAUAUGUGCUGGAAUGCUUUAUGCGUAAAACGGAUUCGUCCGCCCAAGGAUGGGUCUGCGGCCUAUCAGGUAGUAGUGGGUGUAAUGUACCUACUAGCCAACAACGGGUACGGGUUGUGAGAGCAAGAGCCCGGAGAUGGAUUCUGAGACAUGAAUCCAGGCCCUACGGGGCGCAGCAGGCGCGAAAACUUUACAAUGCGGGAAACCGUGAUAAGGGAACACCGAGUGCCAGCAUCAUAUGCUGGCUGUCCAGAUGUGUAAACUACAUCUGUUAGCAAGGGCCGGGCAAGACCGGCGCCAGCCGCCGCGGUAACACCGGCGGCCCGAGUGGUGACCGUUAUUAUUGGGUCUAAAGGGUCCGUAGCCGGUUUGGUCAGUCCUCCGGGAAAUCUGAUAGCUUAACUGUUAGGCUUUCGGGGGAUACUGCCAGGCUUGGAACCGGGAGAGGUAAGAGGUACUACAGGGGUAGGAGUGAAAUCUUGUAAUCUCUGUGAGACCACCUGUGGCGAAGGCGUCUUACCAGAACGGGUUCGACGGUGAGGGACGAAAGCUGGGGGCACGAACCGGAUUAGAUACCCGGGUAGUCCCAGCCGUAAACUAUGCUCGCUAGGUGUCAGGCAUGGCGCGACCGUGUCUGGUGCCGCAGGAAGCCGUGAAGCGAGCCACCUGGGAAGUACGGCCGCAAGGCUGAA
rnacentral:rRNA from 1 species